UAAUAGGUUUUUUUCAAAACCAAGAAGAAAAAACCAACAAAAUUUU
rfam:Alligator mississippiensis ScZkoYb_6, whole genome shotgun sequence.